GAUGAACGCUGGCGGCGUGCCUAAUACAUGCAAGUCGAGCGAACGGACGAGAAGCUUGCUUCUCUGAUGUUAGCGGCGGACGGGUGAGUAACACGUGGAUAACCUACCUAUAAGACUGGGAUAACUUCGGGAAACCGGAGCUAAUACCGGAUAAUAUUUUGAACCGCAUGGUUCAAAAGUGAAAGACGGUCUUGCUGUCACUUAUAGAUGGAUCCGCGCUGCAUUAGCUAGUUGGUAAGGUAACGGCUUACCAAGGCAACGAUGCAUAGCCGACCUGAGAGGGUGAACCGCCACACUGGAACUGAGGCACGGUCCAGACUCCUACGGGGGGCAGCAGUAGGGAAUCUUACGCGAGGGGCGAAAGGCUGACGGAGGAACGGCGGGGGAGUGAUGAAGGGCUUCGGAUCGUAAAACUCUGUUAUUAGGGAAGAACAUAUGUGUAAGUAACUGUGCACAUCUUGACGGUACCUAAUCAGAAAGCCACGGCUAACUACGUG
rnacentral:rRNA from 1 species